rnacentral:lncRNA from 1 species
UGAAGACUCUCGAAAAUCAAAUUGUAGAAUAAUCAACCACUUUCUUCUUCAGUUGUGUCAUUUUUACCUUCGGAAAAAAUCAAUACUAUACAUCCUUUUUACAAAAAAAAUUAUCCAACUAUUAGUUUGAAAAAUUUUAUAGCCAUUUUUUAAGGGGAAAAUUACAUAAAACUAGGUACUUAAAUUUUCAAAUUCAAAAUUAAAAAAUGAAGUUUACUUAUGCAAAACUCAGGUACUAUAUAUAAUUAAUCUCCAAUUCAAUUAAAAAUCGUAAUCAUUUCUCCCAUUUCAAUUUUCAAUCCCGUCCCUCUUUCCACGCCGACUUUCCUCUCUCUCUACCCUUCAUCGAUAACCGUCAAUUUUGAGGAGCGCUGCCACCUUCGAAGAUGUGAGAGUCGAGCAACAGCAUAGUUACUACAGCGAAGGAGAAGUGCCCAAAGCAGUUGUAUUAUUAUGGGAUUAAAGAUAAGAAAUUAUUUUCAUCCUCGAAGUAUGCCACAAUUUUGCAACGAAGAAUUCCAGCAUUAGACAUCUAAAUCUUACUGAUAAGUCACCAUAUUGUUCAAUAACAAAGCCAUGGUUGUCUCACACUCAGUGUAUGUCUAUUGUGUGCGCGUGAAAUGAUGCAGAAAGUGAGUGUGUGCAUGGUCUGUUGUUUUUGAAUAGUGUGAUGGAUGAGGGAGAAAUGUAAAUGAUUUAGUGUUAUUCUUUAUAUUUUAUUUUAUUUGUUUUAAAAGGUUAAGAUCUGUUUUGAAACUUAGAAAGUGCAAUCUUUCAUUUUCUUUGAAUUUCGAUUUAGGGGAGUUUUAAAUAGAAUAUUAAGUACAAUUUCCUAAUUUUUUGUGUACUUACAACGAAAAAAUUUUCUUUAAUCAAUUUUUUGCUGUAUAAAUUCUUCAAAAAUGUUUUUAGUUAGCUAAAGAUGAAAUCUGGGAGCUAUAAUCAAAUAUAUCUUGUUGUUACGUGUUAUCAAUGCAAAAUGUGACUUGAAACAUAUAACAUGUGAUCUAUAACUUGUGACUCGGAAGCUGCGACAAUUGCGUAAUUAUGAUUUGUAACGAAGAUUGGUGUUGGAUUGGGAUCGAUAGUGGGGGUAUUUGGUGCAUGUGACCAAUAAAUUUGAAUAUAUAUGACCUUGUGAUUUGUAAUUUUUUUGAUUUGUGACCUGUAAAUUUUUGAUCUGUGACUUACAAAUUUUUUGAAUUUGUGAUUCGAAAUAAUCUGUAACCAAUUAAUUCGAUGAUAUGUGACCAAUAAUUAUGAAUCUGUGACAAUUAAUUGUGUAAUUGUGACUUUAUUAUAAUUAAUUAAUAAAUAUUUUCAAUUAAUUAUACAGAAAUCUGAAUUUUGAAUUUUUAAACUUUAUAUCUGAUUUAUGAAUUGGUGUAAACAAUACACCUGAUAUAUGAAUUUUUCCCUUUUUUAAGAGUUAAGCUUAUGGGAAUAUGUUUAGAAGAUCAAUUUUUUUUUUUGGGACUUUCCCCAUAAUUAUUAGUUUAUAAUCUUAUGUAGACUAAUUCAAUUUGCCUGAGAUUUUUCAUGUCUGUCCGUUUUCAAUUUUUGCAGUCUAUAAAAGACUAGAGACCAUUAUCUAUUGCAAGUCUACUACCUUGGUGUAGGUUUGCUAUGUUUUGUUGGACGGUGAAUUUUUUCUGCUUACGUGUGUAUAGGGCUUGAUUAUAAAAUUCUACUUAUUUUGCUGUUGAUUCUGAAAGAUUUUGAUUUCAUGUUUUUCUGAAGCUUUAUACAUCGGGAAAGCUGCAACAAAUGUUCCCUUCUUGGCCUAUGAAGUUCCAUCACACCCCAAGAGUACACUUUCCUCUCUAUGACCAUUUCAAUUCACUGUAUAUUUUACAAGUAUUCGGAGUUUUUAUUUUCAUUUUGUAUAAAUCAAUAGCAUAAUUAGGCUCGAAGCAAUUUAAGUAUUGACUAACUUUGUUGGGAUGGUUUGUAUCAUUUAAUUAUAGGUAUAGGAAAGUUGAAAAUCAUGAGAAGAG